UACGGGGGGGGCAAGCGUUGUUCGGAAUUACUGGGCGUAAAGGGUGCGUAGGCGGGCAGGUAAGUCAGUGGUGAAAUCUCCGGGCUUAACCCGGAAACUGCCGUUGAUACUAUCUGUCUUGAAUAUCGUGGAGGUAAGCGGAAUAUGUCAUGUAGCGGUGAAAUGCUUAGAUAUGACAUAGAACACCGAUUGCGAAGGCAGCUUACUACACGAUCAUUGACGCUGAGGCACGAAAGCGUGGGGAGCAAGCAGG
rnacentral:rRNA from 1 species